rnacentral:rRNA from 1 species
UACAGAGGGUGCAAGCGUUAAUCGGAAUUACUGGGCGUAAAGCGUGCGCAGGCGGCGCGUUAAGACAGGUGUGAAAGCCCCGAGCUUAACUUGGGAAUUGCGCUUGUGACUGGCGUGCUGGAGUGUGGCAGAGGGAGGUGGAAUUCCACGUGUAGCAGUGAAAUGCGUAGAGAUGUGGAGGAACACCGAUGGCGAAGGCAGCCUCCUGGGCCAGCACUGACGCUCAUGCACGAAAGCGUGGGGAGCAAGCAGG